AGCCCAUGUUGAGGACAUAAUCUCAACAUUUCUUUAAAUCGUCCCACGCUCCGUAGAAGGAUUCUUCAUCCUUAUGAGUCAAACUAGUAAUUUUGUUUUUUCGUU